rnacentral:sRNA from 1 species
UAUUUGUUGGUACCUAUUGUCUAUGUCUAGAGACCGAAGCUUAACUUAAACUUUUGUUUUUUUUGUUGCAAAUGUAUUAAGAGAUUGUGAAUCUAAGUUAUGGUGUGCUUAUAUAUAACUGUUGCCACAUGAAUAAUAGAUAUUAAAGAGUACAACAAUGUUGAUUAACUUAGUUCCUCUGUACAUUGAAGAUUCCAAAUUUGUUCAUGGAGCUACAACGGUUCAACAAUAAUUCAAGCUCAAAAACCAAGAACUCUAAGAUGAAACACACUCACAGACAGACAUGAAAGUGAUGGAAGAUAGAUAGGUAUGAGAUCAUAAGUCUGUCUUCACUCUUUAGUUGAAGGUUUGGACAAUAGUGUUGUGCCAUGGGUCAGACAAGUGCUGCAACAGAUUCUCAAAUGGUCCUUUUCCAGUCACAUUGUGUUGAACCACAAACCCUAAGAAUGCCAACAUCGCCAACCUCCCUGCAACAACAACAAAAAUGUCUUUUAAGUCUUUUAACUACAACUAGCAGUUUCUUGCAUAACAAGAAUAGCGGAUUAGUCUAAGCUUACCGUUUGCUAGCUCUUUCUCCUUGGCCUCUUGCGUAGGAGCAAAGUUAAGCGGGUUAAAGAUUCCACCAGGGUAACCAACUUCACCCUUAGGUAAGCUGUAUUGCUUAAAGAUAGGGUCUUGGUUCACACUUCCUGGGUUCUUGAUGUCUUGCCACCGUCUGAUCUCAACGUAAUGAAACAAUAUGAACUCGAUCACGAACAAUGUCGACGACGAUGCAAAAUACUGCUCUUUCCCAGCAUCGUACCACUCAGGAACAUUUAUGAUUCCUACCAACAGUUUUGACAAUGUGUUAAGUUCUUGAAAGAAGUUAUAAAUUGUUUUAAGGUCAUGUUAAUG